AUAUGCCGAAGCACAGCUACGUGGGGGAGGUGGGUUGGGGCUGGAGGUACAACCACAUGCUGAACGGUGGGACGCUGCUCAGCAAUGUGCAAAUUAAGAAAACGGAGAUCCGGGCAGCGUUGGAGGACAGAGUCACUCACAGACUCCUGUUACCUGUGUGUGCCGUGUCUCGAGCAUGACUGAGCUCAGGAACCUGCACCUGGAGCCGAGGAGGAGGAAUCAGCCAGAGAGACACGGAUGAGGUCACAUAAGCACCUACCGGCAUAAACAAAACCUCUGGGCUUGGAUUUCACUGAAUGUAACGUCACGUACAGCAAAGAAAAGGAAUCAGAGGCAAUGCAACUGUGUUCAUUGUAAUUUCUCACUAUGAUUAGAGUGAGUUUGAAAAUGAGUCAUGUCUAAAUUGAGCAAAAUUCCGAGUGCAGAAAUGUAAGAAAUGAAGAUGAAUCAUGUUCGAUCACACUAUUAUUGAAACACCAAAAAAAGAAACAGGUUUUCAUGCUUGUCUGUAAACUCUAUCUUUGCCAUUCUUUCUUGGUUUUCAUACUUUUAAUAACAGAAUUAAUCCCAGUAGGAAAAGCAGCCGACAGUAGCAGUCAUGACCUUUGUUGCAUUAGAGUCUUAGUGACAUGAAGAAUGAUGUGGUGGCUGAUUUUCUGUUGCUUUUCAUUUUUCCAUUUGUCACUCGUGUGUUUCUCCAUUUAUCAUCCAUUCUUUCUCUUUACUGCCGUGUAAUGAGCAUUCAAAAUUCAUGGGACCAAGACAUUUAUACUAGAUGCAGAGACGGGCCAUAUCCAACUAUGCAACUGUUUCUGUGUUAUUCCUGUAAUUGUAAUUGUGUAACAAAAGCAAAUGGCACUAAAUAAAACUGAAAUAAAAUA